GCGCCCGUAGCUCAGCCCGGACAGAGCGCUGGCCUCCGGAGCCAGAGGUCGCAGGUUCAAAUCCUGCCGGGCGUACCA
rnacentral:tRNA from 2 species